GACGAAGGGGGCUAGCGUUGCUCGGAAUCACUGGGCGUAAAGGGUGCGUAGGCGGGUCUUUAAGUCAGAGGUGAAAUCCUGGAGCUCAACUCCAGAACUGCCUUUGAUACUGAGGAUCUUGAGUUCGGGAGAGGUGAGUGGAACUGCGAGUGUAGAGGUGAAAUUCGUAGAUAUUCGCAAGAACACCAGUGGCGAAGGCGGCUCACUGGCCCGGAACUGACGCUGAGGCGCGAAAGCGUGGGGAGCAAACAGG
rnacentral:rRNA from 1 species